UUUUUUCUUUCGCUUUUUUCCUCACCGUGAGAAUAAAGGGUAUGCAGAGUGCCAUGUAGGGGAUAAGGGUUGUAUUGCAUGAGUAGUAGUAGUAGUAGUAGUAGUAGUAGUAGUAGUAGUGGUAGUAGAAAUAGUAGUAGUAGUUGUAGUAGUAGGAGUAGUCAGAAUAAUGGUAGUAUUUAUAAUGAGCGUUUUAGAUAUAUAAGUUACACACACACACACACACACACACUAUAAUUAUGCUUCAUCCCUGUUUCGAUUACGCACGUUCGAGACCUCAAAUAGCUUCGUUUAUUACCUUAUAUGAAGCUCGCUCGUCUCUUGUUAGUUUUUUUUUCUAUUAUGUCGCGCUUUAACUGUUUUCAUAUUAUAUAAUAACAGUAUAUAUUUCAUGAAAGUUGGACAGUUUUGUUUAGUCGGCGCGACAUCUGUGGUCAUAUGCCGGAGAGAGACAGAAGGGGAAGGAAUUAUAGGAGAAGGAAACAGAGCCCAGGAGACGGGACACGACCCCCGAUUAAUACCUGGUACCCAUUCACUCAUUCACUGCUGGGUGGACAGGGGCGUAGGGUAUAUAUAUUUCACGAUUAGUUCUUAUUUGGCUGCUUGAGCACUUUAUAUUAGCUUCUGUUAUUAUUUCCCAUAAAAAAGGUUAAAAAAUCCCCUCUGCCCCUUGGCGCUAGGACUCACAAAUUGCGAUUCACACUUGCAAACUUACCUCUUCCAACUUUAUCGUAAUUUUCUCAUUUUUCUCUCACAACUAGUCGGGUCUUCGUGGUCGGGUUUUCAUGAUUGUCUCACGUGUAUGGCGCAGAAACCUUGUCAAACUCUCACUUUCGUAUAAUUUUGUUUCUUCAUUUUUCAUUGACGGGCGUAGCUGCGUAGUUAGGCUAAUAAAAAAAGGGGGAAAAACGGAACAGAGGGGUAAAUAUACAGUUCUAUGAGAAGAACGAGCGAAGCAGUACCGGAUAGCUUUAGAGAGGAGGUUCGGAGUGGAAGGGGAGGGAGUUGAGGCAGGCAGGGCAAGCGAGGAGGGAAGGGAUAGGACAGGUCGCGGGCACUCAGACUGAGGGCGGCGUGGCGGAAGGAUUAACCAGCACCUUGCGGUAAGAGUGAUGGUCGUCGGCCCGUCCGUGGUUGUCCGUGGGUCGUCUCCUCUGCUGCGCUUCAUUCUGGAUCAGAUGGUCGACCUAACAGAUGAGUAUAUUCGUGACUUAAGAACUAGAUUUUCUUAUGCGACCUGGUUAGAACAAUUCCGUGUAAGGGUUGAGGCACACUAUCAGGACACCUCUCCUCCCGAAAUUGACCUUUCUUUCGGCAAAUUCUCUUUUUAUUAGCAGUAUCGGGCUUUUUUUUAACUUUUUACCUUUUUUAUGCCUUUGAACUGACUCCUCUGCUGUAGAAAAAAAGAAAAAAACUAAAUUUAAUUCUUCCUAAAUCUGUGUUUUUAAGUAUCAAACCUUCCACUAAUUACGAUGUCUUCAUUAUUGAUCUCAUUCUCGUGCUGUGAAAAGAUUUUUGCCUCUGUUACCCAAAACUAUAUUGUUCACCGGUGACUGAAGGCAGCCACUGUGUAAUCUAGUCUUACACCCGUGUUCUUUGUAAAUCAGUAUCUUCGGUUAUGAGUAGUUUCCUCGUUUGCACAUAAUGGUAUUAAUUUGGUCAUUAUUUGAGUAGGGCAGUCAAUCUGUGAAAUGCUGUUGAAGUCAAUGUCAGUAUUUGUUUUCGGAAGGGGAAGCUCGUUUAUGACGUAAUAUUUAACCAUUUUAUUUAUACUGUAAAUUCCUCACAAUACCAGACUAGCCAUUUUUUUAUCUGCUUCUUUCUCCGUUACAGGUGAAGUGGACUACAGUGGAGAGGACACAAACAACCCCGGCGCCCUGACACUGCCGUAGUCCUGUUGCCUCCACCAGCCAGGAUGUUCGUCGUCCGCCUGUUGCUUCCACUGCUGAGUAAAUGAUGUUCGGGUCCGGCGCUCCUCCAUUCCUCGGCGUGGGUGGGCCGCCUUCCGAAACUUCAGUUGUCAGACUCGUGUGCCGCAGUGUUGUGGUUGAUGAGCGUCUGUUUCUUAAGAGUUCGAGAGACUCCCCCAUUUUUAGUUUUUUUUUUUUUUAUAAAUAUUUUUUUGGCCGGAGUUGUAUAGUUUUCUCCGGAGGGUCUUCGAAGUAAAAUAUAUAUACUA